rnacentral:rRNA from 1 species
AGCAUGUCUAGCAUGCGAGUCAUUGUAGCAUACAAGGCAUACGGCUCAGUAACGCGUAGUCAACCUAACCUAUGGACGGGAAUAACCUCGGGAAACUGAGAAUAAUGCCCGAUAGAACAUUAUGCCUGGAAUGGUUUAUGUUCCAAAUGAUUUAUCGCCGUAGGAUGGGACUGCGGCCUAUCAGUUUGUUGGUGAGGUAAUGGCCCACCAAGACUAUUACAGGUACGGGCUCUGAGAGGAGUAGCCCGGAGAUGGGUACUGAGACACGGACCCAGGCCCUAUGGGGCGCAGCAGGCGAGAAAACUUUGCAAUGUGCGAAAGCACGACAAGGUUAAUCCGAGUGAUUUGUGCUAAACGAAUCUUUUGUUAGUCCUAGAAACACUAACGAAUAAGGGGUGGGCAAGUUCUGGUGUCAGCCGCCGCGGUAAAACCAGCACCUCAAGUGGUCAGGAUGAUUAUUGGGCCUAAAGCAUCCGUAGCCGGCUCUGUAAGUUUUCGGUUAAAUCUGUACGCUCAACGUACAGGCUGCCGGGAAUACUGCAAAGCUAGGGAGUGGGAGAAGUAGACGGUACUCGGUAGGAAGUGGUAAAAUGCUUUGAUCUAUCGAUGACCACCUGUGGCGAAAGGCGGUCUACUAGAACACGUCCGACGGUGAGGGAUGAAAGCUGGGGGAGCAAACCGGGAUUAGAUACCCGGGUAGUCCAGCUGUAACUAUGCAACUCAGUGAUGCAUGCCUGUGUCGAUGCAGUGCUGCAGGCAAGCCCGAUUUAAAU